rnacentral:rRNA from 1 species
AGAGUUUGAUCAUGGCUCAGAGCGAACGCUGGCGGCAGGCUUAACACAUGCAAGUCGAACGGGUAUCUUCGGAUACUAGUGGCAGACGGGUGAGUAACACGUGGGAACGUACCUUUCGGUUCGGAAUAAUACAGGGAAACUUGUACUAAUACCGGAUAAGCCCUUCGGGGGAAAGAUUUAUCGCCGAUAGAUCGGCCCGCGUCUGAUUAGCUAGUUGGUGAGGUAAUGGCUCACCAAGGCGACGAUCAGUAGCUGGUCUGAGAGGAUGAUCAGCCACACUGGGACUGAGACACGGCCCAGACUCCUACGGGAGGCAGCAGUGGGGAAUAUUGGACAAUGGGCGAAAGCCUGAUCCAGCCAUGCCGCGUGUGUGAUGAAGGCCUUAGGGUUGUAAAGCACUUUUGUCCGGGAAGAUAAUGACUGUACCGGAAGAAUAAGCCCCGGCUAACUUCGUGCCAGCAGCCGCGGUAAUACGAAGGGGGCUAGCGUUGCUCGGAAUCACUGGGCGUAAAGGGCGCGUAGGCGGACUUUUAAGUCGGGGGUGAAAGCCCAGGGCUCAACCCUGGAAUUGCCUUCGAUACUGAGAGUCUUGAGUUCGGAAGAGGUUGGUGGAACUGCGAGUGUAGAGGUGAAAUUCGUAGACAUUCGCAAGAACACCAGUGGCGAAGGCGGCCAACUGGUCCGAUACUGACGCUGAGGCGCGAAAGCGUGGGGAGCAAACAGGAUUAGAUACCCUAGUAGUCC